rnacentral:antisense_RNA from 1 species
UCGCACAUUGUGUUGUUUGAUUAUUGAUUAUUCGAGAAGUCAUUUGAUCAUAUGACAAGAAGUGUCUCCA